UACGUAGGGGCCGAGCGUUGUCCGGAGUUAUUGGGCGUAAAGCGCGCGCAGGCGGCCUCGCGCGCCCGACGUGAAAGCCCCCGGCUUAACCGGGGAGGGUCGUUGGGGACGGCGGGGCUUGAGGGCGGGAGAGGUCGGUGGAAUUCCUGGUGUAGCGGUGAAAUGCGUAGAUAUCAGGAGGAACACCGGCGGUGUAGACGGCUUUCUGGACCGUAGCUGACGCUGAGACACGAAAGCGUGGGUAGCAAACAGG
rnacentral:rRNA from 1 species